GCUCCUCCACCAAAUGAAGCUCCGAUGACACCACCGAUCAGUGCUAUUGCAGAAGUGCUCUUGGAGCCCAUGGAUGCCGGCCUUUUUCCAUGAUCGUCCCCAAGGAGAAUUGCUGCUGCCUCGUCGACCCGUUGUCCUCGCAGCGAUGUCAUCACCACCGGCUACCGCUGACCCACACCAAACAGCAAGGUUGCCACUUUCUUUCUCCUCCGAAUCAUCUGUUCUUGAUCCUCUUAACCAUAUCUUGAUCUCUCAUAUGGUGCAUGAUAUUUUGCAAGGACGAAUUGAAGUUGCCUCAACCGUCAGUGUCCCUAUCGUCACCAUUCUGCUACUGGCUGCCAUCAACUUGAUCAUCAGCUGCUAUAAUUUCCCAAUGUUUAUGUAUGAUGCUUGUGCUGGUUGCUAUCGAUGUUAUAGUGGAGCUACACGAGGAGCAGAUAUUCGAAAAGUGGAACCAUCAACAAGUGUUUGAAAGGCAAGUGUAACAUGAGUUCCCUUGUUACCUAAUAACCAUUUAAUCA